UACGUAGGAUGCGAGCGUUGUUCGGAUUUAUUGGGCGUAAAGCGUGCGUAGGCGGUUACAAAAGUCUGGUGUUAAAGCUAGGGGCUCAACCCCUGUGAUGCACUGGAAACUAUGUGACUUGAGUGCGGUAGGGGAAGGUGGAAUUCCGAGUGUAGCGGUGAAAUGCGUAGAUAUUCGGAAGAACACCGGUGGCGAAGGCGACCUUCUGGGCCGCAACUGACGCUAAGGCACGAAAGCCUGGGGAGCGAACGGG
rnacentral:rRNA from 1 species